rnacentral:rRNA from 1 species
GGGAAUAUUGGACAAUGGGUGCAAGCCUGAUCCAGCAAUGCCGCGUGGGUGAAGAAGGUUUUCGGAUUGUAAAGCCCUUUUGGCGGGGACGAUGAUGACGGUACCUGCAGAAUAAGCCCCGGCUAACUUCGUGCCAGCAGCCGCGGUAAUACGAAGGGGGCUAGCGUUGCUCGGAAUGACUGGGCGUAAAGGGCGCGUAGGCGGCGAUCAAAGUCAGGCGUGAAAUUCCUGGGCUCAACCUGGGGGCUGCGCUUGAUACUUGGUUGCUUGAGUGGGGAAGAGGGUCGUGGAAUUCCCAGUGUAGAGGUGAAAUUCGUAGAUAUUGGGAAGAACACCGGUGGCGAAGGCGGCGACCUGGUCCUUGACUGACGCUGAGGCGCGAAAGCGUGGGGAGCAAACAGGAUUAGAUACCCUGGUAGUCCACGCCGUAAACGAUGUCGAUUUGGAGGUUGUGCCCUUGAGGCGUGGCUUCCGGAGCUAACGCGUUAAAUCGACCGCCUGGGGAGUACGGCCGCAAGGUUAAAACUCAAAUGAAUUGACGGGGGCCCGCACAAGCGGUGGAGCAUGUGGUUUAAUUCGAUGCAACGCGAAGAACCUUACCUACUCUUGACAUCCACGGAACUUGCCAGAGAUGGCUUAGUGCCUUCGGGAACCGUGAGACAGGUGCUGCAUGGCUGUCGUCAGCUCGUGUUGUGAAAUGUUGGGUUAAGUCCCGCAACGAGCGCAACCCUUAUCCUUUGUUGCCAGCACGUAAUGGUGGGAACUCAAAGGAGACUGCCGGUGAUAAACCGGAGGAAGGUGGGGAUGACGUCAAGUCAUCAUGGCCCUUACGAGUAGGGCUACACACGUGCUACAAUGGCGUAUACAAAGAGAAGCGACCUCGCGAGAGUCAGCGGACCUCAUAAAGUACGUCGUAGUCCGGAUUGGAGUCUGCAACUCGACUCCAUGAAGUCGGAAUCGCUAGUAAUCGUAGAUCAGAAUGCUACGGUGAAUACGUUCCCGGGCCUUGUACACACCGCCC